UCCAUGAAAUUGACACCGCUUUGGAACAUUGUGAGAGAGCUUGCCGUCUAGUGUGGGAUGGGAAAGAGAAGUAAGAGAUGAUGACUAAUGAGCGAGGCUGAGUCCCCUACCCCAUGGACGAAGAAGAGUCAGAAGUCUUCGCAAGUUGGAGGGGCGGGUCGACGAAGAAGCAGCUGUGUGGGAAACUCAAAACUCCUCCUCCCCCACUGGAUUGGAUUUUCUAGCGUAACUAGGCAAUGAGAUGCUUUCUGGUGAUUGGGACGAAGUCUUCGGUUUCAAUUCACUGCCGUGCUUGAGCUGCAAAUUCCUUCAUUAAUUCAUCAUCUCAAACGUGCAUAUUUAGCUAUUCUUGUAUUGUAAUUCCCAUCCUCUUUUGCCCAAUUAAAUUGCAGUGAACAGUUGGCGUUUGGCUGCCUACAAAGUUCAUAUCGAUGGCGGCUGUUUCUUUCUUUCCGUUUGUGGCCUUGUAUUUCCUGUCUCAUCCCGCUGUUUCUGCUCAUUAUAACAGCAACAAUAAUACCAAGAUUAGCUGUCCCGCGUCGUUUCGCUGCGGAAAUUCCGUACAACAGCUUUAUUUUCCUUUCUCCGAUACCUCCAAUCCCCAGUGCGGGCUGUGUUCUGUGCUUUGCCCUGAUCCCGAACAUCCUGUAGGAGAAAUCACUUGCGGCAGUGAAGAAAAAUUUCCGAUAACUGACAUCUUAUCCAGGCGCAGCGGUUACGGCCGACCCAGAGUUUAGAAAACGUUCACUUGCUGGCGAUUGCAGUGGCUUCAGGAAUUUCAGCUUACCCAAUCCUCUUUCUAUUUCCUUUACUAUCCCUCAUAAUCUCACCCUCUUCAAGUGCAGGAAAAGCUCUCUACCUAGCCCUCCCGCACAUGAUGAGUAUUUCAACCACACAGGCUGUCAUGAUUUCGAUUUGUACUACAACAAGCAUCCACUAGAUGAUCAUCACGAGGUUUCUGCUUCUACCGAUUCUUUUCAUGGCUGUGACACCAUUCAGCUGCCAUUCACUCCGAGGCUAUAUAAAAGUAAAACUGAACCUGGUGAGAACGAUGACGAUCUAUUAGAACAAUUGAAAGGUACCUAUUAUAUCGACUUGCAAGCGUCCGAGGACUGUCUCAAAUGUCACAGGAGAGGAGGCCUAUGCCAGACCAUCAACCGAAGAUUUCACUGCACAGCAAAAAAAAAAGGGGCCAAACCUCAAACUGAUCCUUCCCUUAGGUAAAGAAAACCUUCUAAACUAA